ensembl:lncRNA
UAUAUAUAAAAAAAUAUAAUCACUUUAGAUAUUUUUAGGACUUUUUGGAAGAUUUUUACUCAAUUUUUGAAAAUAUUUAAGAAUUUUCUUGCCAAAUUUGGGGGAUUUUUAAAAAAAAUAAAACUUUUAAGGAAUUAUUGGAGUUUUCUUCCUGAAGGUUUUGCAAAUUUUCAGAAAUUUGGGGAAUUUUUUUGCUGAAAUUUUGGAUUUUUUUCAGACAAGGAAACAAUAUUUUUUAGUGCCCGUAAAUGAGGACAGCAGGAGGGUUAACUACAAACACACAUAUACUGAAUAUCACUGCUGCUUUUUCCAAAUUUCGUCAUGAGGUUUCAGAUUCAUUUCUAUCAGCCAUUCAUCUGAGUUCAGUAAUAGUACUUGCAAAGACUGAAUGAACUGCCCAGAAGAAGAAAUCCACUGAAGCACUCAGUGGAAAACGGUUUAAGGCCGUUUCUUGUUGGUGUAUUCAUGUGCUUGUUGGAAAGCGUAGAUACUGAAAAGGAUAUUGCGAUAUUUGUGGUUUCUUAUAUCAAAAGGACUGCUGUUCACUCGACCAGCAAGGCUUGGCUAAUGGAUGAAGAGUUUUCCAGCACAUUAAUUCAUCAGUAAGAGUUGCAUAGUCUUGCAUCUAACAUUAUAAGAUUUACUUUGUUGGCACGGAUGUUAAGUAUUUGAAAUUUGUAGUUAGUAAGUGGAAAAUGCUGCUGUUAUGGUCUUUUUUUUAUCAAAAGAUAAAACCUUAUUUGACUUUUUUAGGGUGCGUGUGAAAUACAUAUGCAAACCUUUUAUAAUUAGUCUAAGUGUGAACCGAGUGUAAAUUUAAACACAUAUAAAGUAUACAUGUCUGCAGUUUACACAGGAGAGGAUAUGCAGCACAGGAGAAUAUGUGACAAAUCUGACCUGAAAGUCAAUUUAAAACAAAGAUUGAUUAUUAGCCAGUGUGAUUUUUUUUUCUUAAAGAUGUGUUCGUAUGGGUGUGAAUAAUAUCAUAUCUCAGGUGACUUUUCAGUUAAGCAGUUUACUGUGUAAUCUGCUUUUGAUUGUAUAUUUUCUAUUGUUGCGUUAUGACAACCCUCCUGAAAUGCAAUCAGUUGGACAAAAAGACUAAGAAGGUAGGUCAUCCCACAGAUAAUAUAUUUUAUUCAUCAUUAAUAUGAAUAAACACAUUUGUAACAAAAAUCUUUCAGGUGAUAUCAAAUAUUUGGUGCUUUGUGAAUAUAAAGUACAUUCCUGUCCUUUAUACAGUGACAUUCCUCUAAGAAUAGUCUAUGCAUAUGAUCUACUGGUGCUUUUUUUUUUUUUUUUAAGUCCAAAUGGAUCCAAAAACAAGAUUCAAGUUAAUAGUUCAUCCAUUGAAGAUUCUCUUAAAUACAAGCUGGAUGCUGCUGAGUUUCAGCAGCAGUGUUUUUGUAACCAUUAGGCUGUAAAGAUUUUCCAGGUGUCCUCAUCUCCUCAAAAACGGCUAGUCAGCAGCGAAUCUGUCAGCAUGAAUACAAUUUAAAAGACUAAAAUGAAAAUCUACAAAAUAUUAUUUUCCAUUUCCUGAGGUGCAGCAAUUCUUCCAUCACAUUGGCACCAUAUGAUGCAACAGUGACUUUCUCUUCUAGGACACAGAAAUAUCAAAUAAUUUUCUCUACAUGAUUGCAUUUUGAAGUGUUUGGAUAAUCUUUUCAUGCCUUUUUAAUGUUCUUCUUGCUUUAAAGUUUGACUAAAAAGUGAAAAAGUUACAAACAGAUAUAUAGUAAGUGUAAUCUAAGAGUUUAAAAUAAUUUCUGGUGUUUUAAACCAGUGAUCAGAUAGUGAUGGAAGAUAGCAGGUAAAAUAAAUCUACAUUUUGCAUCAACUGGAUUUUACAGUUUAGGUUUUUUUUCUUAUGCAUGAGCAGCUCUCCCACUUUUUGUUGAGAACAUCUUGACGAUGGAGAUCACUUGUGUUUUGGUGCAGCAAUCCUUUUUCUUUAUUUUUAUCAAUGCAACCUGGACAUGUUUGCUUUACAAAUCAGUAAAGCUUUUCAUUUUCCUGCUAUAAUUUUUUUAUUGCAGUUUUGUUUUUCCAAUGAAAUAAACAUCACUUUCAGUACUGUAUGCAGAUUCACAUCUGUAUUCUUAUUAUAUGUAUAAUUGUACUUUGAAUGUACUGUUUGAACCACAUUUUUAUUAGCUUCCUAUGGCAAAUUGUCACAUGAAAUUGCCAGAUAUAACCAGAACCCAUCAACAAAUAAAAAGCAAAAACUUUAAACAGUCAAGACAUCUGCUUUUCUGAUGUGGGGAUUAUAAUAUAAGGUGGAUUAAGUCACUUGCCUUUUUUCCCUCCUCAUGGUUUAAAGUUACCGGCUGCUGGCGGCAUGAAAACCUCAUGAAUUCUUUAUAUGUGCA